rnacentral:rRNA from 1 species
CAGUCGAGCGAAUGGAUUGAGAAGCUUGCUCCUCAAGAAGUUAGCGGCGGACGGGUGAGUAACACGUGGGUAACCUGCCCAUAAGACUGGGAUAACUCCGGGAAACCGGGGCUAAUACCGGAUAACAUUUUGAACUGCAUGGUUCGAAAUUGAAAGGCGGCUUCGGCUGUCACUUAUGGAUGGACCCGCGUCGCAUUAGCUAGUUGGUGAGGUAACGGCUCACCAAGGCAACGAUGCGUAGCCGACCUGAGAGGGUGAUCGGCCACACUGGGACUGAGACACGGCCCAGACUCCUACGGGAGGCAGCAGUAGGGAAUCUUCCGCAAUGGACGAAAGUCUGACGGAGCAACGCCGCGUGAGUGAUGAAGGCUUUCGGGUCGUAAAACUCUGUUGUUAGGGAAGAACAAGUGCUAGUUGAAUAAGCUGGCACCUUGACGGUACCUAACCAGAAAGCCACGGCUAACUACGUGCCAGCAGCCGCGGUAAUACGUAGGUGGCAAGCGUUAUCCGGAAUUAUUGGGCGUAAAGCGCGCGCAGGUGGUUUCUUAAGUCUGAUGUGAAAGCCCACGGCUCAACCGUGGAGGGUCAUUGGAAACUGGGAGACUUGAGUGCAGAAGAGGAAAGUGGAAUUCCAUGUG